rnacentral:lncRNA from 1 species
GGCUCCCGGGCCUCCUGCUCGGCCUCUGCGCUGCUAGAUCCCCCGGGAGUUGAUGUGGCCGGCGCUGGACCCGAGCCUCGCCUGGGUGGACAAAGUGGCCCCCGGCCCCCCAUCAAAGCCCGCGUGGGCCCCAUCCCCCGAGGGCAGUCCCAGGCCCAGCGCGGACACUGGGCGCCUGGGGCGGCGCAGAUACAGAGUAGAAGCGGCGACUGUUGCUCCCGAGCUCCGCGCUCCGGAUACAAUGUGUCUGGCGCCUCCGACCCGCCCGCUCGGCGUCUAGACAAUCUCAGAGAAAACCCCUGUGCGCCGAUUUUGCGCUACAGAUAAGCGAUUUUCUCCUGUAGCAAAGCUACUAGCAGCCAAUUUCCAUGCAUUUGAGAGGCAAAAAGACAAAAUAAAACAAAACGUGAAUUGGG